UAUGGUAGCGAUACGUCUGCGGGAAACACCCGUUUCCAUUCCGAACACGAUGGUUAAGCCGUGGGCGGCCGAUGGUACUUAGCUGGAGACGGCUUGGGAGAGUAGGUGGCUGCCAUUU
rnacentral:rRNA from 1 species